rnacentral:rRNA from 1 species
GACGAACGCUGGCGGCGUGCUUAACACAUGCAAGUCGAACGGUAAGGCUCCAGCUUGCUGGGGUACACGAGUGGCGAACGGGUGAGUAACACGUGGGUGACCUGCCCUGCACUUCGGGAUAAGCCUGGGAAACUGGGUCUAAUACCGGAUAGGACCAUGGUGUGGAUACUGUGGUGGAAAGUUUUUUCGGUGUGGGAUGGGCCCGCGGCCUAUCAGCUUGUUGGUGGGGUAAUGGUCUACCAAGGCGGCGACGGGUAGCCGGCCUGAGAGGGUGGACGGCCACAUUGGGACUGAGACACGGCCCAGACUCCUACGGGAGGCAGCAGUGGGGAAUAUUGCACAAUGGGCGGAAGCCUGAUGCAGCGACGCCGCGUGGGGGAUGACGGCCUUCGGGUUGUAAACUCCUUUCACCAUCGACGAAGGGUUUCUGACGGUAGAUGGAGAAGAAGCACCGGCUAACUACGUG